GGGGAUGAUCGGUUUCGACAGCGGAUGUCGAAGCAGGGGAAGCGUGUCGAGGAAGCGGCAAUGAUCUCGUAAACCAUAUGUCGCAAAAAAUAAUCGCCAAUACCAAGCGCGAUUCCUCCCAGCAGGCCUUCGCCCUCGCUGCCUGAUCUCAGGUAGCAGAGCGAGCCUCCUACUAAAGGGAGUGUCAGCCCGGGGCCGUUCCCGACCCGGAUCCUGGCAUCAGCUAGGGAACUAAACCUCUAGGCCCGGUCACGGGGUCGAGAGGGAAACCAAACAGUGACUGAGCCCGUCGGAGACUUGUUCGCGUGAUCUCCGGGGCCGAGAAAAGCGCAGCGAACUGCACACGGAGAAGCCCUGGUUCUGCACCGUUGGACGCGGGUUCGAUUCCCGCCAUCUCCACCA
rnacentral:tmRNA from 1 species